rnacentral:rRNA from 1 species
UACGUAGGGUGCGAGCGUUAAUCGGAAUUACUGGGCGUAAAGCGUGCGCAGGCGGCUUUGCAAGACAGAUGUGAAAUCCCCGGGCUUAACCUGGGAACUGCAUUUGUGACUGCAUGGCUGGAGUGCGGCAGAGGGGGAUGGAAUUCCGCGUGUAGCAGUGAAAUGCGUAGAUAUGCGGAGGAACACCGAUGGCGAAGGCAAUCCCCCUGGACCUGUACUGACGCUCAUGCACGAAAGCGUGGGGAGCAAACAGG